UUCUGUUUCUCCUCCGGAAACCUUGCACACUCCUUUGAUUCAUGGUGUUAAUGGAAAACCUGUAGCUGGUGGUCCAUACAUCUUCUGGAGAGACAUUUUUCACAGAACUCACCUCAUCUGGGGACCAUGUGUCCAGGAGAGUUACCGGUUUUUGGCAAAGGGCACAUCCAGACCCACGUGCCAGCGUUACCCUCUGGGACAUCUGGUUACCAACUAAUGACAGGCAGCCAGGUAUCCUUUCCUCCAGUCGUACAUGCAGUCUUUUCUUCACCUUUGCAACCUCAUUAUGGCUAAAGCAGACAUUUAUCACCCCUGGGAAGGAGAAGAUGUGCACGUGGUUUCCACAGUGUGGUGAACCAACUUGGACACGAUACCCUCAGAGGUCUGACUGCCGCACAGCGCGUCAGGACCGUUGGCCCAGGACUCAGGAGGAGUCUGGUCGUCUGCCUGCCUAGAACCUAUUGCUUGACCUUGGAUAAGUCGCUUUCCCUGUCCAGGCAUUGUGUCCCUCCGCUCUAAGGCCAGCACAGUGGCUAGGAUAUGGGAGAUGAUCAAACCGUGUUUAUUGAAUCUGCGGAAAUAUACGAAGGCUUGGGAAGAGAAUGGCUCUACUGUUCCAUGGCAGGUAGAGCUGGCUCAAAGCCUGGCCUGCAGGGCUGUUGCUGACGCUGCCCACAGGUCCAGACAACCACAGACUGUGGACAGUCACGACUUGUGUAAAUUGCCAUUGUCAGCCUGGCCUCUUGGGGUCAAGCUGCUGAAGUUCCAGUAGGCCUGCUGGUAAACCCCAGCCUCCUGUGCUCUACGGCGUGUCCCUGGAUGGACAGACAGUAUUCUAAUAGAGUAAUGAAGCUUGAUGAUAUGGAAAUCAGCAUCGGCCUUGACCUUCUAUUCAUAGUGUAUGAACUCUGACUCUCCCCUUUGGUAGGACUCACCCAGAACACCAUCAACCAAGAGGCCACACCAAACUUAGUUACAAGAGAACUUCUUGAAGUCAUUCUUCGGUGAGUACAAAUAAAACCCGUGUUUCUGGUUUUUGUUUUUGUUUUUUUCUUUUGUAAAUUCACAACCUGGUUUUACCCAAGUAUUUGUACCCGCUCAUAUCUUGAAACAGCACUGGGGGCUUCCAGGUCAAGGACACAGGGGGAUCCUAAUCUUCACUAGCAGCAGAAAAAUCUGGAGAGGCUCCAGACACACCCCAGCUAGCAGGGCUCAGACAGGAGAGGCUGCCUCAACUGGUGGGUACCACGGAUCCUGCUUGUCCAUUCCCUUUGGUGCCUACUCUGUGUCUGCCCAUGUUUGCCUUUCCUCCACCCCCAUCCCAUGUGCAUCCCUACCCCCCUUCUCCCAGCUGCAGACUCCCUAUUCUUAUCAAAAGCUGCUCCUGUUCUCCAGAUCAUGUAAUGCCCGUUACCAUGGCACCCGGUACUUCACAUUAUUAAGACAAUCUCUUUAUUAGUAAGCCUGCUCCUCCCAGGAAGUCAGGCGCCUCGGAGCCCAUUUGACGAGACGAUGAACCUGAGUCUCUGGAGGUUUCGGGACUGUCAGGGGGUCAGGACAGACAGCCUCGGAGAGCUCGGGCCUCAUGCCCCACUCCUGGACUGCACCUGACUGCUUAGAGGGUGACUGGGACUCUCACAGCCUCCUUCCCUUUCAUUGCCUUCAUUGCCUUUUCUUUUCAUCAUGCACUCAUAAUAAUUAUACACGUUAUCACACUUCACGUUUUACAAAAGGCUUUCAAAUACAUCCCUACUUUCCAUCUUCACAGUAUCCCUGUUGACUAAGAAUAUUGUGCUCAUUUUAAAGGCUGAGGAAACUGGAAGCUGACGUUCAGAGAAUCUGACUGUUCAAGGUCAUACAGACACUCAGGGGCAAAGCUAGGGCUCAAACCAGACCCUCUGCUGUCUCUACAACCCCUUUUCUUAUCCUAGACAGACAGAUAGGCACACAGAUAGACAAAAAAUUCUAUGCCAAUUGCAUGCUCAGUAAUAAUUUGUUGAUUUAUAGACUCAACGUGUCCGCUUUGAAUCCAAUGUGAUGUUACUGACUCACCAUUACUGACUUUGGACUGCCUUCCCAGUAGAGGAAUAGCUUCAACGACUUUUUUCUUCCUUUCCUUUCCUUUCCUUUCCUUUCCUUUCCUUUCCUUUCCUUUCCUUUCCUUUCCUUUCCUUUCCUUUCCUUUCCUUUCCUUUCCUCUCCUCUCCUCUCCUCUCCUCUCCUCUCCUCUCCUCUCCUCUCCUCUCCUCUCCUCUCCUCU